UCAGUUCUGUGUGUCCUGGGUUAGCCCACAAAGAGAUUCUGCAGUUAAUGGUGAGAGAAAAGGACAUGAUUUCUCUAUAGGUAAUGAGAAGGUUCAGAUUGUGCUUGUGGAACUCACAUAGAAAUUCAGUCAUAUGAAACCUAAGAAAUCACAGAAAAUUGUGUUACUCAGAUUAAUUUGGUGUUAGUGAUGAGUUUAAGAUUUAUUCAUAGCUAAAAUUAUAAUAACAGGACAAGUGAGUCUAAAUGGAAGAGUAGAAAUAGGUAAAAGGGAAGAGGUGACUGAUAAGGACCUAAAUUAUGACAAUUUUAAUGACUAGUCCAAAAAAUAUAACCGUUCAAAUGUUAUGAUCCACUGGAGGUACUGGCUGGGUAAAUGUCUGAAAAGACAGGCUUCAGGCUGUUUUUUGGGAGGUUGGAGGAAGGCAUAGUAAGUUUUGGGUCGUUGUACAGAGUAGAAAAGAUUUGUUAGGUUUGCCUGUAGUAGAAAGAAUGUCUGAUACUCCAAGGCAAUUUCUGCACAAGUGAUGGUGGUAGGAGCUAGGAGUGGACCUGGAGAGCUGCAUCUCUGCUGAGGUCCCCUGGCCUGCACACCGUGUGUGGCCUGUGUGCUUUGCCUGUGCUGCUGGGGAUAUCUCUUCCAGCUUUGUUCUGUCUGAAAGGAGUCUGGUCUGUGCAUAGGGGCUGCACAGUGAGUGGGGCAUUUUGGCUUCAGAGGCACACUGCUACUCCAAACUUGAACACUGGUGUAAUGGGAGGGAGCAGAGGGAGUACUCCAAAUGCACUGUUUCAUAUUACAGGUGCUGGCAGCAUGUGGAGUUGAGAGCAGUGAAAGUCCAAAGGACUAGGGCACCAGAGGAGGUCACCAGGAGCUGUCAUCCCUUAUAAGCCCUGCAGGAAAGAGAAAGGAGAAUGAUUCAUUGGUAGAUGCAAGCCUCUGUAGUUACAGAAGUACGGAUAGAGUUGACUACAUGGAUUUGCAACCAGCAGCUCAGCAGCUGCUUCAUGAACCAUCCUUCCAGGAGGGGAACAUCACAAAGAUGGGCGAGUUAGAUGCUGAGAAGUGGGAAUUGGUCCAUUCAUCCCAAGAGAAAUCCUCCCCUGUUAUUCCUUUAGCAAGGAGGAUAUGA
rnacentral:lncRNA from 1 species